UCUCGCCCUUCCCAAGAGAAAAACCCCCAGGUAGUAGAGUUUUUCUACCCCAGAUGGUAGAGUAGCCAGGUCCACCCUUCCUCCACCUUGGCCAUUUCUUUUGUAUCUCUUAAGUACCGGUCCUUAUCGCUUAGCAACCGAUGGGACAAAACUCCAUGUGAGAAAAAAAAAAAAAAGAAAAAUCCUAGCCACCAGCAACAAAUAUAAAAAUCAGGUCCUUCUAAAAAAUGCUUCUUAAAAAAGCAUCUAAAGAUGCUUGCAUCAAGAAACUGGAGAAUAAAGGCUCUUCUCUAGCAGUACAAGAGGACACAGUUUGGGAAUAAGACUCCGGGUGACACAAGAACUUUGUGGGAAACUGCCAGAUUGAGACUUGUUACAGGCCAAGGUAACUCAUCAUAAUCUUUUCUCUCACUCUUUUUGUACAAGAUACACUACUAGCUCCAGAGCACCUCAUUGAUGAAUCCAUGAAUCUAGUUCUGGUGCCUGAUCAGCUCCAGCUCAUGGUACCACUCUUCUGCAUGUACACAUGUAAUACCCCAGUGAAAGGACACAGCCUGGAAGUGCACAAAACUCUGGCGAGAAACAAAACAUUACUUAAGUCGUGACAUUCAAGGAUAACUGGCAGUCCUGCCACCCUGAACACGUCACCUGAAACUAAGGAAGUGUGCAAGCAGAGAUAAGGAAAAAAGUUAACAAUUAGGGGGUUAAGCACCAGAACAGAUCUUCCUGAGAGACUGUGCAAUCUUCAUCCUGGAAAAUUUGCAGGCGCUGGCCUACAAUCCCAGACAACCUACUGCUCUGAGCACUUAUAGGAAGGUGCUGCUCUCCUGGAUCACCUGUGGAACCUGUUUUUACACUGCGUGAGGCCCAGCCCAGCUCCUCCAAGGAAUGGAAGAUGGAUGACUGCUUCUGUUCCAGUGGGUCCUAAUGACUUCCACCACAGACAGUGUCUUUGUUAUAGAGGUGCUACAUGAAGCAGAUAUAUUUUUUUUAAUGAGCUCAUUGUAGGCAGAGGCUGAAUUCCACCUCGAUUGCAAGGCUCUUCAGUCCACGUACUGUCUUCAGCAAGACAGCAUGCUCACCUGUUCUCAGCCCAUAAAUUACCAUCUCUCUCAUUCUGCCUAAGAAAGAAGGGGGACACAUCCCUCUUUGUGUGCCCAGCUGGGAUUACAGACUCUGGCAGCAAAGCUGGAGAGGACAAAGCUUGGCUAGAGAGACAUUCCUCCAGUGCAGGGAUUGAAACGGGUAGAUGUUCCCUGCUUAAGGGAGAAGGCCACAAGAACUGUUUCACCCACACAACAGCUGCCACCUCAUCACACAACCAGGAAGGCACAAGAUCCUCCUUUAUAGAAACAGCAGAGGGAUGAGAAGGGAACAAACGAAAACACUUCCCACUCUCCGCCACAUGCGUGGUCAGUGUAAAAGACGCUCACUGGUCUAUCCUGUUGCCCGGGGAGAAGUUUGAUUCAUAAAAUCAGAUAAUUAAAUGUUCUUCAUCACAACUGGCUGCAUCAUUUUGAACCUCUUCCAUUGUUCUUUUCCUCGUCAGCCCCCACCGUUUUUCCAGUAUCUAGAAUCUGGAAAAAGCCGAAAGCCUUUCAUCUUAUCAGGUGUGGUUUAUUGCCCCCUGGUUACACAGUAAUUUUGGUCUCCACUCCAUGAAAAGGUCAUAUGAUGGGAUAUCAGCUCAAGAAUUGUCAGUUCGCUGGACAAAUAAGGCAGGGACUGCCAAUACAAUUAUAAGAGCCUGAUAAGGAAGGCACGGAGAAGAACCAGCAGGAAAGGGAGAAACGACCAUAGCAAUUUUAAAGGUGAGGGGCAAUCCCAGAAGAAGGCAAGAAAUGCCCCUGGGGGGAGGGAGAGAGAAGGAACAGGAGUGUAUCUAACCACAUUCUUCCCAAAAUAAAAAUUAACAAGAAGAUAGAAGUGGCUCAGGAGAGGAAUCACAGGUAUUCACCCUCAUUAACCGGGAAAUCUCCCGCUGUGCUGGAUGCCUAAUUGGGAGGCUUAAGCAACUGGUAGGAUGAUUAUCAAGCUAGCUUGCCUCAUAGCUCAGGAUGAAAAGAAAAUAAUGUUUUCUCUUUACAAGUAUAGGUGGGGGUUAGAAGGCACUAAUUCCUAUUCCUACACGUGUUGCAAGGGCCAUCUCUUUUUCUCUUGCGACUGAUAAGGUGGAAUGAUGUUGAAAAGCACCUGCUUGGAAAGUUCAAAGGGUUUUCACAAUAGAAGAAAAGCGAAUCUGAACCAAAGCUGAUGGCUAGGAGGGAUGGCUGAAGGAAAACCUGGGAACUGCUGGGGAGGGAGCUUUUCAUAGGUGACACCUCCUUGUAUGCAAGAGAAGUUUACAGGUUGUCUCUCUUGCUAGUAAAUGGCCCGAGGGUCAAGUAUUUGUCCUGCCAAUUAUUUUCUUAAGUCCAUUAAGAAAUCCAGUGGGCUUUUUGCAGGUUUCAGCCUGAAAGCAGAAAAGGAAGAUAACUACCCCACAAACAGGAUUCACCAACAAGAGGCAACCCUUCCCAGGGCAUUUUUCUCCUGGUUCUGCAAGGAGCACACCUCCUCCUGGAAUAGCCGUGCGAUUGUUCAGAGCUCCGCAAACACGAGAGCCAGGGGGAAUGCUUCGCAGUGGGUGGGGUUGGUGAGACUUUUAACCCCCACUUCCAACAGUGCCUUCCCCAGGGGCAGGGAGCGCAGGUGCCGGUCCCAGGGCCAUC